ensembl:lncRNA
CCAAAUUAUUGAAAUAGAGAAAGAAGCUGGGAGUUUGCAAGACAAACCAUUGUGUCCACAGCAGAACUAUGACUCUAAACCAGUGAAUACAGCCGGUGAUGAUCCCAGCCAAGAAAGAGACAGUCCAGCACAGCAAAACACCAUAUAUGACUCUGAAAUGGAGGUGACCGUUAGUGACAGUGCUGCUGAAAUAGUAACAGUUGAAACAAAUGCAAGAAGAACCUCUAGAGUUACAGAGGAACAUCAGGAAAAGAAGGGUUUGUGUCUGUCAGAAAAAGAUAGUGCGGUUAUAUCUGCAAAGUUAGACUCACCAAUUGAAUUUAGUAGAUCAGACUAUACAUCAGCUGUGCCAAAUGAGACGACCGCUGUGACACAGCAGUGCUCUCCUACUGUUCAGAAUGAAGUGGAAAAUGGGCAGCAAACAGAGUCAAUAACUGCACGCAGGAAGACUCACGUCACCUCUCGUACUAAAAGUAGCAGACGUACAGGUAAACGGAAGGAACCAUACCCAGACCCAAGAAAAACAUACGUAAUCUCCCAAGAUCCUCCUUAUGACAUUUUUAAUGAUUGUUUUAGUGAUCUCGAGCUUCAGAAUUCUGAAAGAAGCAAGGCAAUUGAAAAUACUUCAAGUAAAGCUGUUAAAAACAAAGCUAAAGAGUCCCAUGCUACGCAGGAACCCAGGAGAACAUUUAUAGUUCAAGAUGAGCUAAGACCUCAGAAGAUCAGGAAGACCAAAGUUUUGUCCCUUAUGAUGGAUCACGGUUUAUCUGAUGUUCAUGAAAAUGUCCAGUCUGCCAGUAGUUUAUGCUUCGAGUCUGCUUGUACUGAUGUGCAUGUCGGUGAGACCGCUGUUCAAAAACAUAAAAACAAAACUCCAGCACACCCACUUCCUCAGUCUGAAAAGUGCAAGACACAGAAAAACAGAGGAACAUUUGUGAUACAGGCAAGUCAAUCAUUCAUCAACAGGAAUUCAUUUUUGGAUGAAACCAAUAUAUUAGAGGAUCCCAACAGACCGGAAGGUUUGCAGGAAGUAAUAUCAGAAACCCAAACAACACCUCUCAAUAUUGGUUCAGAUAAUGUUGCACAACAGCACAAGGCGCCAGAGCAUGAUUUUCUUCAUAAGAUAUUGACAGAAAACACCUAUCAUCCAGAAUGUUCACAAGAUGUGAGUGCCAGCCUUGUACAGGAACCCUCUGAAUUUACGUCAUCAGUGGCUGGUAAAGCCAAAAAACACAGAAAAGAGGGGGAAGAUAAAAUAAAAAAGAAGAAUGCUGCAUCAAGAGAAAAACCCAAAGCAUUAACAAAGAAACAAAACAUUUGUGCUGUGCGUAUGGAUGAAAAUGUGUUGACUGGAAGGCAAGAUAUGAUUGAUCUUCAGAAUGGAGCAGGAGGCAGGUCUUUGUCUAAUACUUUACAGUUUCCAGUAAUAUCUCACUGCUCAGCCUCAGAGGAGGACCUCAGGGAUGAAUGUAAUGCUGAAACCCUUGGAAUAAGCUCUCCUUCCUCUGUUGACAAGCUUGAUCAGACUAACCACACUAACAUGGACUCUCUUAGCAUAAAUCUAGAUCAAACCAACCAAGCUCUUGAGGGCAGGUGCAGGAAAACAUAUGUUGUUUCAUCUUCACAUAAAUCCCCCAUUAAGAAAAAAACUGAUAGUGGAGCUUCCAGUGACAUUUCUGAACAUGAUCUUUUUACUAAUGAAAUGGAUAAUGUUUCAUCUGUCAUUAACAGAAGCAUGUUUGCCAUGGAAAAAUAUAAUGUCACUUCAGAUGGUUUUAGUGGACCCACAAAAAACCUUCAGUUUACAGAGGAGAGGCCUCCCUGGGAGACCCUUGAUGGUUACACUGAAACACUCUCAGAUGAAAGCUCUGCCCAUAGCCCUCAACCAGAGACCCGCAGUCAAACUAUGAACAUUUACCAAGACCAGGACUCAGACUUGAGGCACCAAGCUCCAGAAGAAGGCAGGGUUAUGAAGAGUCUAACAAAUACAGAGCAUAACUCUGAUUUCGAGAGAACACGAAGAAGAGCAGCACCAGUCUCCUACAAAGAACCAGCCCUCAACUGCAAGAUGAGGCGUGGGGACAAAUACUCUGAUACAAAAUUCUUAAACUCUCCGGUGUUCAAAGACAAAAAGAAGAAGAAAUUAACUUAGGACUGAUUUUCCCAUUUAUUGAUUUCAGAUUUUUAUUUGGUUUUUCUCUACUUUUUGUCUUUUUAUGUAAUGAAAAUGUUUAAUAGAACGAUAUUAAAGUAUUAAAUCAUUUUUAAUCACAG